AUAUUAUUUUCGCUUCCCUCCCACUUAUUUUUCAUUCUCUAAAAUUCCCUCUUCUUUUUCCCCGCUUCCCGAAAAUCCCUUCAAUAGCCUUCUCUCCAUGACCUUAAUUAGAUCUCCACAAUUCCUCCAUCUCAAAAUUAAUUCACAACUCUGUGCCUUCGCAAUUCACAUCAAAGGAUACGGAUCUUAGAAUCAAAUUCAGGUUUUUGUCGUCUUCAUGAUCUCGUUUUGUAUUUCGAAAAAACUUAAGAUGAUUUGCAGUAAAAUUACAGGAUUAGGUGGACGAGGUGAGAAGCCUUAAACUUACUGGAAAAGGAAAUCUUCAAGGAUGUAAAGAUUUCUCGUUGGACAAUAGGAGUAUAUAACUUUAUAUACGUUCCUGAAGCAUGCUUGAGCCACACUGAGCUUCAAACAUGUUGGUGCGAUGCUGACAACUCAUAGUUCUGUGUUGGGAGUGGUUGGAUUCAUGCAUUGGAGCUCUUUUUAAAAACAUUAGGCUUAUCAUUUGGUCUGGUGUAGCUCCUCAAAUGUUGGUUCAGAGUGCACGAAGAUUGAAAGUUAGUUAGCUAUCAUUUCGGUGCAGAUAUGGAUCUUCAAGCUGGAAGACUUUCAGUAUGAUCAAGAGUCAUAGUGAAACUUGUUAGACUUGAAAUGACAUUGAAUUCAAAUGGUUUAUUUCUCUUAUUUUGUCGACACUUUAACUAUGUAUUAGAAGUUGGUUUUGUUGUGGAUUUAAUGAAAGACAGGUUAUUUUUAGAUGUGAUUUUAGUAUGUUGUAUUGCAAACUUUUGUAUAUUUUCAUUUAAAGGUCUUAUUGUGCUGAAAAUAUUUGAUUCAACUUGAAUGAAAAAUAGA